AGUGUUCAAAGCAGGCCUAUGCUCGGAUACAUUAGCAUGGAAUAAUAAAAUAGGACGUUCGAUCCUAUUUUGUUGGUUUCUAGGAUUGACGUAAUGAUUAAUAGGGAUAGUUGGGGGCAUUAGUAUUCAAUUGUCAGAGGUGAACUUCUUGGAUUUAUUGAAGACUAACUACUGCGAAAGCAUUUGCCAAGGAUGUUUUCAUUAAUCAGGAACGAAAGUUAGGGGAUCGAAGACGAUCAGAUACCGUCGUAGUCUUAACCAUAAACUAUGCCGACUAGGGAUCGGACGAUGUU
rnacentral:rRNA from 1 species